rnacentral:rRNA from 1 species
AGUGAACGCUGGCGGUAGGCCUAACACAUGCAAGUCGAACGGCAGCACAGUAAGAGCUUGCUCUUACGGGUGGCGAGUGGCGGACGGGUGAGGAAUACAUCGGAAUCUACUUUUUCGUGGGGGAUCACGUAGGGAAACUUACGCUAAUACCGCAUACGACCUACGGGUGAAAGCAGUGGAUCUUCGGACCUUGCGCGAUUGAAUGAGCCGAUGUCGGAUUAGCUAGUUGGCGGGGUAAAGGCCCACCAAGGCGACGAUCCGUAGCUGGUCUGAGAGGAGGGUCAGCCACACUGGAACUGAGACACGGUCCAGACGCCUACGGGAGGCAGCAGUGGGGAAUAUUGGACAAUGGGCGCAAGCCUGAUCCAGCCAUACCGCGUGGGUGAAGAAGGCCUUCGGGUUGUAAAGCCCUUUUGUUGGGAAAGAAAAGCAGCAGGUUAAUACCCCGCUGUUCUGACGGUACCCAAAGAAUAAGCACCGGCUAACUUCGUG